CAGCCCUAAACGAUGCGCGUUAGGUGUAUCGGUGACCACGAGUCACCGAGGUGCCGAAGGGAAACCGUGAAACGUGCCGCCUGGGAAGUACGGUCGCAAGGCUGAAACUUAAAGGAAUUGGCGGGGGAGCACCACAACGGGUGGAGCUUGCGGUUUAAUUGGAUUCAACGCCGGAAAUCUUACCGGGACCGACAGCAACAUGAAGGCCAGGCUGAAGACUUUGCCGGAUUAGCCGAGAGGUGGUGCAUGGCGUCAGUGACU
rnacentral:rRNA from 1 species